AUGAACGCUGGCGGCGUGCCUAACACAUGCAAGUCGAACGGAGUCCAGCCUUUAAGACCUUCGGGUCAAAGAGGGGAAGACUGAGUGGCGGACGGGUGAGUAACACGUGGGCAACCUGGCUCAUAGAGGGGGAUAACAGAGAGAAAUUUCUGCUAAUACCGCAUAAGCACACACUGCCGCAUGGCAGAGGGUGAAAAGAGAAUCGCUAUGAGAUGGACCCGCGUCUGAUUAGCCAGUUGGCAGGGUAAGAGCCUACCAAAGCGACGAUCAGUAGCCGAUCUGAGAGGAUGAACGGCCACAUUGGGACUGAGACACGGCCCAAACUCCUACGGGAGGCAGCAGUGGGGGAUAUUGCACAAUGGGGGGAACCCUGAUGCAGCGACGCCGCGUGAGUGAAGAAGUAUUUCGGUAUGUAAAGCUCCAUCAGCAGGGAAGAUAAUGACAGUACCUGAAUAAGAAGCCCCGGCUAACUACGUG
rnacentral:rRNA from 1 species